AGUCAAUAGAUACCCAGGUAGUCCAUGCCGUAAACGAUGAUUGCUAGGUGUGGGGGGUCUGACCCCUUCCGUGCCGGAGUUAAACACGAUAAGCAAUCCACCUGGGGAGUACGGCCGCAAGGUUGAAACUCAAAGGAAUUGACGGGGGCCCGCACAAGCAGUGGAGUAUGUGGUUUAAAUUCGAAGCAACGCGAAGAACCUUACCAGGUCUUGACAUCCACCGAAUCCUGUAGAGAUACGGGAGUGCCCUUCGGGGAACGGUGAGACAGGUGGUGCAUGGUUGUCGUUAGCUCGUGUCGUGAGAUGUUGGGUUAAGUCCCGCAACGAGCGCAACCCUUGUGAAUAGUUGCUACGAAAGAGCACUCUAUUCAGACCGCCGUUGACAGAACGGAGGAAGGUGGGGAUGACGUCAAAUCAUCAUGCCCCUUAUGACCUGGGCUACACACGUACUACAAUGGCCGUUAACAGAGGGAUGCAAUGCCGCGAGGUGAGCGAACCCCUAAAAACGGUCUCAGUUCAGAUUGCAGGCUGAAACUCGCCUGC
rnacentral:rRNA from 1 species